rnacentral:rRNA from 1 species
GGGGUGACUGCGUACCUUUUGUAUAAUGGGUCAGCGACUUAUAUUCUGUAGCAAGGUUAACCGAAUAGGGGAGCCGCAGGGAAACCGAGUCUUAAUUGGGCGUUAAGUUGCAGGGUAUAGACCCGAAACCCGGUGAUCUAGCCAUGGGCAGGUUGAAGGUUGGGUAACACUAACUGGAGGACCGAACCGACUAAUGUUGAAAAAUUAGCGGAUGACCUGUGGCUGGGGGUGAAAGGCCAAUCAAACCGGGAGAUAGCUGGUUCUCCCCGAAAGCUAUUUAGGUAGCGCCUCGUGAAUUCAUCUCCGGGGGUAGAGCACUGUUUCGGCUAGGGGGCCAUCCCGGCUUACCAACCCGAUGCAAACUGCGAAUACCGGAGAAUGUUAUCACGGGAGACACACGGCGGGUGCUAACGUCCGUCGUGAAGAGGGAAACAACCCAGACCGCCAGCUAAGGUCCCAAAGUCAUGGUUAAGUGGGAAACGAUGUGGGAAGGCCCAGACAGCCAGGAUGUUGGCUUAGAAGCAGCCAUCAUUUAAAGAAAGCGUAAUAGCUCACUGGUCGAGUCGGCCUGCGCGGAAGAUGUAACGGGGCUAAACCAUGCACCGAAGCUGCGGCAGCGACGCUGAUGCGUUGUUGGGUAGGGGAGCGUUCUGUAAGCCUGUGAAGGUGUGUCGUGAGGCAUGCUGGAGGUAUCAGAAGUGCGAAUGCUGACAUA